CCUACGGUGUACAGCAGUGGGGAAUAUUGCACAAUGGGGGAAACCCUGAUGCAGCGACGCCGCGUGAGUGACGAAGUAUUUCGGUAUGUAAAGCUCUAUCAGCAGGGAAGCAGAAAGACGGUCACUGACUAAGAAGCCACGGCUAAAUACGUGCCAGCAGCCGCGGUAAUACGUAGGGGGCAAGCGUUAGCCGGAUUUACUGGGUGUAAAGGGAGCGUAGACGGCUGUGCAAGUCUGAAGUGAAAGCCCAGGGCUCAACCCUGGGACUGCUUUUGAAACCGGGGAGCGAGGGUGCUGGAGAGGUAAGUGGAAUUCCUAGGGUAGCGGUGAAAUGCGUAGAUAUUAGGAGGAACACCAGGGGCGAAGGCGGCUUACUGGACAGUAACUGACGUUGAGGCUCGAAAGCGUGGGGAGCAAACAGGAUUAGAUACCCUUGUAGUC
rnacentral:rRNA from 1 species